GUGCUUGCUUUGGCAGCACAUAUACUAAAAUUGGAGUGAUACGGAGAUUAGCAUGGCCCCUUGGCAAGGAUGAUAUGCAAAUUCAUGAAGUGUUCCAUAUUAAA